UGGAAAUGAUGAAAUAGAGAUAAUUGGGUGUUGAAUGUUGUGUGGCUGGAAGUUUUUAAUAUGUAUGUUUAGUAGUUUUUCAUUAAUAUUUAAUAGGUACUAGAGAUAGUGUGUGUGCAUGUGUGUGUUUGUGGCGGCUAUGCCAAGGGGGCACUGACGGGUGAUGCUGACAUUGGAGUGCAUCUGAGGCUGUUGUAGACGUAACAUGGGUCAUUGAUUACAACAUUGCCAAUGAUUAUAACCCAAGAACAGCUCACCUAAUUAGCCGAACACCCUAAAAUCUCUAACAGGUUCAUGAAACAUGGUCCUGUGAUCUGAUCCAA
rnacentral:snoRNA from 13 species